UUCACAUCCAAAUCCAAAUGACCGACAUGAUCACGACCACGACCAACCCUAGUGUGACGGCUCUUUUGACUCCGGCGUUCCUGUGGUGGCGGGCCUCCUCCGGCAAGUCGGCGCCACCUGCGCUCCGAGCUCAAAGCCUCCAACCUGCGACCACGAUCUCCUGCUCCUUCGGCGAGCCCACGACAAAUACCAACGCUUGCUGCCCUGCUCCUCCUGCUCCAAAGCCCUCAGCAGAUCCCGUCUAACUCUCAAGGUUGGCGAGCUCGUAGCGACAGCCUCUCAGGCCUUGCCUCCCUGUCCUGUUAGCCGUCGCGGCGCCGCUCUAGGGCCAGCUGGCCAUGGAUCAUCUUGCCAUCUUAAGGCUGACACUGCUCCAAGCCUGCAAUCGAAGACUAGAUGUGCGGCUUCCAGAGUUCAUUUGGCACUCUAUACUGAGAAAGCAGCUUCAAAAAGCAUGUACUGUUGCCCUUGGCUGCAUGUCAGCUGCUAUACUGCUGGUUGAGGCUACUUUACUUCCAAGUG